AAUACAAAAACUGUUCAUAGAUAAUUUUGAAUUUUAUUGAAAGGAAUGACAUUAAAGAUAAGAUUGAAUUUUAAAUUUUGAGUUUUAAAAUUAAAGUAUGUGCAUUAGUAAAUUUUACAAGUGUCCCUAAAUCCGCUUACCAUUUAUUCAGGGAUCAUACUUUAGUAAUAAUGAGAUUUAUGUGAAGGGAGAAUAAAAAGAUAAAAAUGAGCAUGAAAGUUUUAAGGAAAUUUCGACAAGGAAUGAGAAGUACAUGUAUUAAAGGGCACUUUGAAAAAUAAGAACACGACAUGUAUACAAAUCUCAAAUGGGCAACUUGGUUUCUCAAUGUUAAAAAUUUACCGCUACCUGGACAAUACAACAUGCAUGCUGUGUUCCAAAAUUACUUUAAUUUCUCUGAAUCACCUUACUGAAAUAAACUUCUAAAAAAAGUUUUGAAAUCUCAUUUUGUUCAACUAUAUUGAUCUGGCUCUAAAGGCCUGAUCACAAGUCAAAAGCUGAAAAACCUGCAAUAUGUCUGAAGUUUCAUAAAUCAUCUACGGUUUGGAAAUCCGAGUUUGAUUA